AACGAACGCUGGCGGCAGGCUUAACACAUGCAAGUCGAGCGCCCCGCAAGGGGAGCGGCAGACGGGUGAGUAACGCGUGGGAAUCUACCCAUCUCUACGGAAUAACGCAUGGAAACGUGUGCUAAUACCGUAUACGUACUUCGGGAGAAAGAUUUAUCGGAGAUGGAUGAGCCCGCGUUGGAUUAGCUAGUUGGUGGGGUAAAGGCCUACCAAGGCGACGAUCCAUAGCUGGUCUGAGAGGAUGAUCAGCCACACUGGGACUGAGACACGGCCCAGACUCCUACGGGAGGCAGCAGUGGGGAAUAUUGGACAAUGGGCGCAAGCCUGAUCCAGCCAUGCCGCGUGAGUGAUGAAGGCGCUAGGGUUGUAAAGCUCUUUCACCGGUGAAGAUAAUGACGGUAACCGGAGAAGAAGCCCCGGCUAACUUCGUGCCAGCCGCCGCAGUAAUAC
rnacentral:rRNA from 1 species